rnacentral:misc_RNA from 1 species
UCUCCGUUGGUGAACCAGCGGAGGGAUCAUUACCAGAGUUUUACAACUCCCAACCCUGCUGUGAACCUACCUUUCGUUGCUUCGGCGGACUCGCCCCAGCGUCCGGACGGCCCCGGGCCGACUCGCGACCUGGACCCAGGCGGCCGCCGGCGACCACACAAUCCUGUAUCCAUCAGUCUCUCUGGAUCCGCCGCAAGGCAAAACAAACGAAUCAAAACUUUCAACAAUGGAUCUCUUGGUUCUG